rnacentral:rRNA from 1 species
UUGAGUUUGAUCAUGGCUCAGAUUGAACGCUGGCGGCAGGCCUAACACAUGCAAGUCGAGCGGCAGCACGAGGAAGCUUGCUUUCUUGGUGGCGAGCGGCGGACGGGUGAGUAAUACAUGGGAAUCUGCCCGAUAGUGGGGGACAACGUUUCGAAAGGAACGCUAAUACCGCAUACGUCCUACGGGAGAAAGCAGGCUUAGGCUUGCGCUAUCGGAUGAGCCCAUGUCGGAUUAGCUUGUUGGUGAGGUAAUGGCUCACCAAGGCGACGAUCCGUAACUGGUCUGAGAGGAUGAUCAGUCACACCGGAACUGAGACACGGUCCGGACUCCUACGGGAGGCAGCAGUGGGGAAUAUUGGACAAUGGGGGCAACCCUGAUCCAGCCAUGCCGCGUGUGUGAAGAAGGCCUUCGGGUUGUAAAGCACUUUCACGCGAGGAGGAAAGCAGUAAGGUUAAUACCCUUAUUGUGUGACGUACUCG